rnacentral:rRNA from 1 species
CUACGGGCCGCAGCAGUGGGGAAUAUUGGGCAAUGGAGGAAACUCUGACCCAGCGACGCCGCGUGAGGGAUGAAGGCCUUCGGGUUGUAAACCUCUUUCAGUAGGGAAGAAGCGAAAGUGACGGUACCUACAGAAGAAGCACCGGCUAACUAUGUGCCAGCAGCCGCGGUAAUACAUAGGGUGCAAGCGUUGUCCGGAAUUAUUGGGCGUAAAGAGCUCGUAGGUGGUUCGAUACGUCGGAUGUGAAAAUCAGGGGCUCAACCCCUGACCUGCAUUCGAUACGGUCGAGCUGGAGUUUGGUAGGGGAGACUGGAAUUCCUGGUGUAGCGGUGGAAUGCGCAGAUAUGUGGAGGAACACCAAUGGCGAAGGCAGCUCUCUGGCCUGAUACUGACGCUGAGGUGCGAAAGCGUGGGGAGCAAACAGGAUUAGAUACCCGAGUAGUC